rnacentral:rRNA from 1 species
AGAGUUUGAUCAUGGCUCAGAUUGAACGCUGGCGGCAUGCUUUACACAUGCAAGUCGAACGGCAGCACGGGGGCAACCCUGGUGGCGAGUGGCGGACGGGUGAGUAAUGCAUCGGAACGUGCCCUGAAGUGGGGGAUAACGCAGCGAAAGCUACGCUAAUACCGCAUAUUCUGUGAGCAGGAAAGCAGGGGAUCGCAAGACCUUGCGCUUUGGGAGCGGCCGAUGUCGGAUUAGCUAGUUGGUGGGGUAAAGGCCUACCAAGGCGACGAUCCGUAGCGGGUCUGAGAGGAUGAUCCGCCACACUGGGACUGAGACACGGCCCAGACUCCUACGGGAGGCAGCAGUGGGGAAUUUUGGACAAUGGGCGGAAGCCUGAUCCAGCCAUGCCGCGUGAGUGAAGAAGGCCUUCGGGUUGUAAAGCUCUUUCGGCGGGGAAGAAAUUGCUUGGGUUAAUACCCUGAGUAGAUGACGGUACCCGAAUAAGAAGCACCGGCUAACUACGUG